rnacentral:misc_RNA from 1 species
GUUGAGUUAAGCACAUAACAUAAUUUAUGGUCUUCAAGGAAAAAAUUUUGUCAAUUUCCAAUCUUUAACUUUUGUUUAAAAUUACUUUUUCUUCUAAUGGCAUUAAAUUCUUGUAUUUCCAUCUUUUCACUUAAUCAUACAUUCAUGUUUAGCCUGUGAUGUUUUUGAUUUGUAUCUUACAUGGUGGUGCUUUAUUUUACGAUUUGUGCAGAAUAGUAGUUAAAAAGGCGAUG